rnacentral:rRNA from 1 species
ACGAACGCUGGCGGCGUGCUUAACACAUGCAAGUCGUACGGUAAGGCCCUUUCGGGGGUACACGAGUGGCGAACGGGUGAGUAACACGUGAGUAACCUGCCCACAACUUUGGGAUAACGCUAGGAAACUGGUGCUAAUACUGGAUAUGUGCUCCUGCUGCAUGGUGGGGGUUGGAAAGCUCCGGCGGUUGUGGAUGGACUCGCGGCCUAUCAGCUUGUUGGUGGGGUAGUGGCCUACCAAGGCGGCGACGGGUAGCCGGCCUGAGAGGGUGACCGGCCACAUUGGGACUGAGAUACGGCCCAGACUCCUACGGGAGGCAGCAGUGGGGAAGAUUGCACAAUGGGCGCAAGCCUGAUGCAGCAACGCCGCGUGCGGGAUGACGGCCUUCGGGUUGUAAACCGCUUUCAGCAGGGACGAAGCUUUUUGUGACGGUACCUGCAGAAGAAGCACCGGCUAACUACGUG